UAAAACCCGUAAGAUCCCUAAAAUCAUUAUCUCUCAAGAUUUCGUUCUUCCGAUUUCUUCUAAUAUUGUUGGAGAGAUAUGGGUAGCCGUUGGACUGAGUAUGGAUGUUCUUCCUACUGCAUAGAUGUUGCCGAAUAUUGCGUUGUUCCUAAAUCUGGUACAGGUUUGUGGGCUGAUUUUGGGUAUGUCAAAAGUUAUCCUUUUAUAUACAUUCUAUAAUGAUUUAUCUAGUUAUUUUUUAAUGUUUGGGUCGAUUCUUCUCCAAAAUUUACAACAGAUCUAGCUAGAGGGCUUGAACUCCAGAAAUAUUUUGGGAUUCCUCAGUAAACUUUGUCCAGUGAAAUAAAUUUCUUCUCAUUAUUGGCAACGAGGUAGUGAUUUCAUUCCAAGAUAUGUUUUAUGGCUUUACAGUUUGAUUACAAAGUUUUAUUUUUUGAUUGUUAAAUUAAAAAGUUUUGUUUGUUUGCUUGUUUUAUUCUUUUUCGCUCUUUAUUGUCAAUGUACAAAUACCAUAUGAGUUGUGACAUAUUAUCACACCUGACGUCUUAGUGAAUCCAAAUGUAAUGAUAAGGAUACUUUUCAUGAAUUUGAAUUUUAAAUGCCAAUAUCAGUUUAUGACAUAAUAAUUUGGGAAAGGUCUCUGGAGGAUAUUUUUUUACUUUUUACGGUGUUAAAUGUGAUGGGCACUAGUAAAGCGAGAAGAUAAAAGAAUAUUAUAUAAUUUAUGUAGUGAAAGAAUGGUGUUAAUAAUUAAUUUAGGAGUUUUGAACUUCAAAUCUUGUAUCAGGAAUGAGAUUAUUUUUCAGUGGCAAUAAAAGGAUGUAGCACAGUAUUUAAAAUUUAUCCUGUUCAUUUGAUUGUUCAUAUGUCUAAGUAGUUGAGUAGUCAGCAGAGUUAGAGGGUCCCUUAAUGAGUUAUGGUUUCUUUUUUUUUUCUUCAUAAAAAUAAUGUACUAUAUUUUGUUCUAAUUGUGAGGUUUAUGUUUGAUCAGUUGAUUAAGAUAUUCUUUGCGUUUGGCCACGAUACUCCCUUUGAGUUAACUUGUACCUAUUUUCUCAUCUUAGAUUUAACAUUUGCAUUAUCCCAGGCAUUUUUAUAAGCUUCUAUACAUAGAGAUGUAUAAUAUUCUUGUGAAGGAAAUCUCAUUGCUGCUAAGUUAUGUAGAAACUCUUAGUUUCACCAUUCUUUCCUUGGGUCGUGUAUGUAUGUGUUUGGUGUAUCUCUAGCUAUUUUCUUAGCUGCUAAUGAAAUCAUGAUCUUGGUUGUUAAUAUAUUUUUCGAUGUCAGUUGCUACAUUUCAGGAUUAGCUAUUGUUAUUCUUCAUCUUGUUCGACUUUUUUGACUUCUUGGGGAAUAUUAGGAGCAAACAUAUGAGUAUGUAGUUAAAUUAGGCUGAGCAACUGUACCUUUUUUCCCCAAAAUAAUAUCAUUAAAGUGGAGAAUACUGUUAUUUGUCAUGACUUGAGUGAUAUUAAAGUUUGUGAAUAAGCUAUAUACCUUAGUUAUCAUAAAUGAGUAGUUGGAAAGUGAAGUAUUUGAGCAGUGCUAGAAAAGAAAUACUUUUGUCUGUUUGAGCUCCUAUGUCAUUGUUUAGAAUGUUUUGAUUUCAUUUACAUGAUUUUCUAUGUAAGGAAAUUACUUCCUUGAAUGUUCUGAACAUGCUGCUUUAAAAGAUACUAAAUAUGUGGCUAAUUCUUGGUAAGUUAAAUGUGCUAUUGCUGGAGAAAUGGACAAUUUGGACAUUGCAGGUACUUAUAUGUUAUUCUGAUGUCCUUAAGAUGCUAUAGCUGAAAAUAUUGUGGCCACAAUAAUAGUUGAACUAGAACUCACUACUACCUUAUUUCAUCUGAGUACAAUGGAGUAUUCUAUCCAAAUGGACAGUUGUAUAGGCUAAUGUGGUGUUAAUAUGUGCAGGUACAAGGUGAAGGACCAAGUACAUUCAAAUAGCAAGAAGUUGAACACAAAGUGCAAAAAUUUCCCACCUUAUUGAAGAUAUGAAAAAUAUCGUCAACAAUAAUUUUUCCACUAGCAGAAAUUUGCUUCCUUAGAGGCUGUACAGAGUUUAACAACUGCACCCAAGAGGUACUAAGCUAAAUAUUAGGGUGAGUUUGAAAAUUAAUGUAGUUGAAGACUAGCAGCUUGAUGGUGUUUAGCUUUAGUUUGUUGCAGUUGUGCACUGUUUUAGACACUGCUGUAGAGAUGCAAUCUCCAUUGAGUUCAACGGCUUGACGUACUCAGUUUUAACAAAAGUUGAUAUUAAUACCAAGUGAAGUUGUCAGCGCGUAUUGGAUGCAGAAAUAAAGAUUUGUUGAAUAUGAAAUCAAGACAGUUUCAUGGUAGAAAAAAAGAUUUGGCUGAAGGGGAUCAAACCACAACAACACGGGCCUCUUACAUCAGACAUUACAAAAGUUGUCCAAUUCUUUUUCCUUGCUGCUACAGAACUGAGUUAUUCCUUUACAGUUAGUUGUCGGUUGAUCUAAUUUUUGCCUUCAAAGUGAUUUUUCCAACUUAUAUUAGUUGAAUUACUCAUUGGAGUGUAUUAGACAGACUGGUAUCGCGAGAAUAUUUAGAUGGUUAUACUAUAUAAAGUCUAAAUUCAGAAAUAUGUAGGAGGUAAGGUAUAUGUCCCCCUCCUUGUAUUUGACAUGUUAAUGAAAUCUACAUUAAGGUCUCGAUGA
rnacentral:lncRNA from 1 species